UCAAUAAUACGUAUUUUAUGUAACAGGUCAAAGGGCACUGAAGUGUUACACUGGUGGAAGCUUCUACAUCUAUCUGAGGAACACUUUCCUCAGCUUUGGCUUUCCAGAUUUGUCCACGCUUCUGUCUCUUGUGCCACCAGAACAGCAGCCAGAGCUCCUGAGUACUAUCAGCACCUCAGAGUUGCAACAGCUCCUCAGUUUACCCAAUGUGAUCACUAACAGUUCUGAUGUCUGUACCAUCUUCAACAACUACAACAAAAUGCCUGCAUUCCUAGAAACUGAGGAUGUUCCAGACAAUGUGAAGAAGGUGACCCUGCCCUGUGUUUGGCCUUUGGCCCUAAGCAGUACCGACAGAUCUGAGGCCAACUUGUGGUUCACUCUGCGUUUGAGGAAAUAUCUUAAAUUCCUCAGCAAGAGCCUCAUCAGUGUCACUGAAGUGCAGAAAGCCUCGUGUUUUGGUUUCCAGAAAAUGGUCUCUGUAAUGGGAAAUAACUUCACAUACAACGGUUCUGAUUUCGGAGAAGCAGAUGUGUACACCUCGAUUAAGGACUACUUGAGCACUGGCUCUGAAGUCAGAUGCUACAAUGCCAGUGAUGCUGCACUGAACUCCACAUCCUGGUUCGUCAAUAACAUUGGCCAGUUUGUGACAUUCAUCACCCUGGAUGAUAUUACAAACUUUGUCUCCACCACGCAAAGUAAAGUGUUCUUGGAGGAUCAAGCCAACCUGGCACUUUUCAAUAACAUACUAAUCCCAGGAAAUGUAACAAACUACUACAUCACACAGCUGUUUGCAUUCAGCCCAGCCUUUAGCCCUCUCAGGCUUCCAGGACUUUUCCUGUGUUCUUCUGAGGUACCAAGUAUGGUGUAUUCUUCUUUGAAUGAACAUGAUGCCAUCCUCAUAUUGGAGAAGCUGAAUAUAUUCUGCAAUGGAACAGAAGACCCUGAGGUACCCUUACAUAAAGUUCAACUUCAAGAUAAA
rnacentral:lncRNA from 1 species